rnacentral:pre_miRNA from 1 species
GGAAGUUAAGAACUGUUUCUUAAUUUUUAACUAAAAAAGUUAAGAACCGGUUCUUAAAGUCUUUAUUUAAGAACCGAUUCUUAGCUUUUUUUAGUUAAAAGUUAAGAAACAGCUUCUUAACUUCC